rnacentral:rRNA from 1 species
CACGUAGGGUGCGAGCGUUGUCCGGAAUUAUUGGGCGUAAAGAGCUCGUAGGCGGUGUGUCGCGUCGGCCGUGAAAACCUGCAGCUUAACUGUGGGCGUGCGGUCGAUACGGGCAUCACUGGAGUUCGGCAGGGGAGACUGGAAUUCCUGGUGUAGCGGUGAAAUGCGCAGAUAUCGGGAGGAACACCGGUGGCGAAGGCGGUUCUCUGGGCCUGUACUGACGCUGAGGAGCGAAAGCGUGGGGAGCGAACAGG